rnacentral:rRNA from 1 species
AUGAAUGUGCUAAGUUGGAACUGCCGGGGAGGGGGGAAUCCUCGGACAGUUCGUGAGUUAGCGACGAUCUCACAGUCGCAUUCCCCAAACUUGGUGUUUCUGUGUGAGACUAGGCAGAAAGCUGAUAAGAUGAGAAGGAUCCGUGGUCACCUUGGUUUGAAGGGAUUCAUGGGUGUGGAUAGCAAUGGAAUGAGUGGUGGUUUGGCUUCGUUCUGGCAUGAGUCGUAUGAGGUGAAGAUUUUGGAUAAGGAUGAUAUAUAUAUUGACGCCCUUGUGCGUGUUACGGAGGGUGCAACUCAAUGGAGGAUUACAUGCGUGUAUGGAGAACCAAGAGUUGAGAACCGGCAUAUUAUGUGGGACAAGCUACAUCAGCUAAAGACUACAAGUAAUGCCCCUUGGCUAGUGGUGGGUGAUUUCAAUGAGGCGUUGUGA